UCAAUAGAAUGCCGGCGACCGGCGCACGGGUGCGUAACGCGUAUACAAUUUGCCUUAUACAGGGAGAUAGCCCGGAGAAAUUCGGAUUAAUAUCCCAUAAUAUUAUUUUUCAGCAUUGGAGAAUUCUUAAAGCUACGGCGGUAUAAGAUGAGUAUGCGUCUGAUUAGCUAGUUGGUAAGGUAAUGGCUUACCAAGGCGACGAUCAGUAGGGGGGCACAAGCCAGGGGGUGGCGACUGUUUAUCAAAAACACAGGGCUCUGCGAAGCCGCAAGGCGACGUAUAGGGUCUGACUCCUGCCCGGUGCCGGGAGGUUAAAGAGAGGUGUGCAAGCAUCGAACUGAAGCCCCGGUGAACGGCGGCCGUAACGAUAACGGUCCUAAGGUAGCGAAAUUCCUUGUCGGGUAAGUUCCGACCUGCACGAAUGGAGUAACGACUUCCCCGCUGUCUCCAGCAUAGACUCAGUGAAAUUGAAUUCCCCGUGAAGAUGCGGGGUUCCCGCGGUUAGACGGAAAGACCCUGUGAACCUUAACUAUAACUUCGCAGUGGCGUUAUCGGUGGUUUGUGUAGGAUAGGCGGGACGCUAUGAAGCAUGGGCGCCAGCUCGUGUGGAGCCAACGUUGAAAUACCGCCCAAAUCUUCGGUGACGUCUAACCUCGGUCCGUAAUCCGGAUCAGGGACCCUGCGUGGCGGGUAGUUUGACUGGGGCGGUCGCCUCCCAAAGAGUAACGGAGGCGCGCGAUGGUAGGCUCAGGACGGUCGGAAAUCGUCCGCUGAGUGCAAUGGCAUAAGCCUGCCUGACUGCGAGACUGACAAGUCGAGCAGAGACGAAAGUCGGCCAUAGUGAUCCGGUGAUUCUGUGUGGAAGGGUCAUCGCUCAACGAAUAAAAGGUACUCCGGGGAUAACAGGCUGAUGAUGCCCAAGCGUCCAUAGCGACGGCAUCGUUUGGCACCUCGAUGUCGGCUCAUCACAUCCUGGGGCUGGAGCAGGUCCCAAGGGUAUGGCUGUUCGCCAUUUAAAGUGGUACGUGAGCUGGGUUCAGAACGUCGUGAGACAGUUUGGUCCCUAUCUGCCGUGGGUGUUGGAAACUUGAGAGGAUUUGUCCCUAGUACGAGAGGACCGGGAUGAACAUACCUCUGGUGGACCAGUCGUGACGCCAGUCGCGCAGCUGGGUAGCUAUGUAUGGUCGGGAUAACCGCUGAAAGCAUCUAAGCGGGAAACCCACCUCAAAACCAGGUUUCCCUGAGAGCCGUGAUAGACUAUCACGUCGAUAGGCCGGGUGUGGAAGAUCCGCGAGGGUCGUAGCUUACCGGUACUAAUUGCUCGAA
rnacentral:rRNA from 1 species